GGCUAGGUAGCAGAAUGGUUAUGCGUUAGAUUGCAAAUCUUUUAUAUGUUGGUUCAAUUCCAAUCCUAGCUU
rnacentral:tRNA from 1 species